UACGUAGGGGGCAAGCGUUGUCCGGAAUCAUUGGGCGUAAAGCGCGUGUAGGCGGCCCGGUAAGUCCGCUGUGAAAGUCGGGGGCUCAACCCUCGAAUGCCGGUGGAUACUGUCGGGCUAGAGUGCGGGAGAGGCGAGUGGAAUUCCCGGUGUAGCGGUGAAAUGCGCAGAUAUCGGGAGGAACACCAAUUGCGAAGGCAGCUCGCUGGGACGUAACUGACGCUGAGACGCGAAAGCGUGGGGAGCAAACAGG
rnacentral:rRNA from 1 species